UCUGGGCAGGGCUUAGGCUCCCACAAUCCUUAGUCCCACCCUUAGCCUUGCAUUUCAGCUCAGUGGGCAGAAGGGAAUACCUUUCAGCUGUUCUCACUCAGCUCUGCUGCUGCAUUUAUACCACAGACUUCCAACAGCACCAUGAAGUUGGUGGGCUUCCUCCUCCUUGUGACCAUCAUCACCCUCAGCGCAGAGGUACAGGAGCUUCAGGCUUCGGUGGUACCCCUGAAACUGUUGGGCACCUGCAUUGAGCUCUGCAGCGGUGACUGGGACUGUGACCUAGGGGAGCACUGCGUCAGCAAUGGGUGUGGCCACAUCUGUGCUACAGACUAAAGACAGAAUUCCUAUCUUCAAACAUGUGGCUGUUUGGAGCUCCUUGCACAGGAAGACAGAUGAAAAUGGGGGCCUGUGGAUGAAGAUUAUAAGGGAUGUGGUGGAGAAGGAAAAAAAAAAUCUGUUCCUCUUAAUAAAUCAGCACUGUAAAAAAAAAAAAAAAAAAGUACCCACACUACCUGACUUCUUUGGGCAGGGGUGAUGAGGAGGAGAAAGAGAAGGUGGGGGCUGGAUGACAUUUGUUGAACACUUAUUAUACAACAAGGACUGUAUUAUAUUCUCCACAAGCACUGUCCAAUUUAUCCUUACAACAGCCUUGUGACUAUGCUUAUUAUCAUGACCAUUUUAUAUAUAUGGAUACUGAGGCUUGGAGAAAUUAAGUAAUUUGUUCAAAGUCAUAUGUAUCAGGGUCUUUAAGUGUAAUCCCAUGCAACCUAAGAUGAGCCAUGCCAAACCCA